rnacentral:misc_RNA from 1 species
UGGUUCUGGCAUNGAUGAAGAACGCAGCGAAAUGCGAUAAGUAAUGUGAAUUGCAGAAUUCAGUGAAUCAUCGAAUUUUUGAACGCAUAUUGCGCCCUCUGGCAUUCCGGGGGGCAUGCCUGUUCGAGCGUCAUCAAAACUCUCAUGUUUAAAUGGUCUUGGGCCUCUGUCCAUUGGAUGGGCCUGAAAAUCAGUGGCGACGGCCCCUGGGGCUUCGAGCGAAGUAAAACUCCAACUCGAGCCCCCGGCGUCUAACCAAAAUAUUUUCUACAGUUGACCUCGGAUCAGGUAGGGAUACCCGCUGA